rnacentral:rRNA from 1 species
AGAGUUUGAUCCUGGCUCAGGACGAACGCUGGCGGCGCGCCUAAUACAUGCAAGUCGAGCGAGAACCAGGACUUCGGUCCUGGGGAGAGCGGCGAACGGGUGCGUAUCACGUGAGCAACCUGCCUCGGAGACCGGAAUAACUCGAGGAAACUCGGGCUAAUGCCGGAUGCCCUCGGUGGACCGCAUGGUCCGGCGAGGAAAUGGACUCCGCUCCGAGAUGGGCUCGCGGCCUAUCAGCUUGUUGGUGGGGUAACGGCCUACCAAGGCAACGACGGGUAGCUGGUCUGAGAGGACGAUCAGCCACACUGGGACUGAGACACGGCCCAGACUCCUACGGGAGGCAGCAGUAGGGAAUCUUGCGCAAUGGGGGAAACCCUGACGCAGCGACACCGCGUGCGGGAUGAAGGCCUUCGGGUCGUAAACCGCUUUCAGCAGGGACGAAAUUGACGGUACCUGCAGAAGAAGGCCCGGCCAACUACGUGCCAGCCGCCGCGGUAAUAC